AGCAGCCGCGGUAAUUCCAGCUCCAAUAGCGUAUAUUAAAGUUGUUGCAGUUAAAAAGCUCGUAGUUGAAUUUCGGGAUUGACGUGAUGGUCGUGCCUUACGGGGUAUGAACUGUUGCUGUUGAUUUCUCACCUUCUGGAGAAACUUGAUGUCCUUAAUUGGGUGUCUUGCGGAUCCAGGACCUUUACCUUGAAAAAUUGAGUGUUUAAAGCAGGCAUUUUGCUCGAAUACAUUAGCAUGGAAUAAUAGAAUAGGACGGCAUGGUUCUAUUUUGUUGGUUUCUAGGAUCACCGUAAUGAUUAAUAGGGAUAGUUGGGGGCAUUAGUAUUCAAUUGUCAGAGGUGAAAUUCUUGGAUUUAUUGAAGACUAACUACUGCGAAAGCAUUUGCCAAGGAUGUUUUCAUUAAUCA
rnacentral:misc_RNA from 1 species